rnacentral:rRNA from 1 species
UUUCUGCCAAGGACGAUCGGUCCGCCCUCUGGGUGAGCAUCUGGCUCGGCCUAGGCAUCAUCUUGGAGAGCGUCGCUGCACUUGAUUGUGUGGCACGGUAUCCAGGACAUUUACUUUGAGGAAAUUAGAGUGUUUCAAGCAAGCGCACGCCUUGAAUACAUUAGCAUGGAAUAAUAAUAUAGGACUUCAGUUCUAUUUUGUUGGUUUCUAGAGCUGAGGUAAUGAUUACUAGGGAUAGUUGGGGGCAUUCGUAUUUAACU